rnacentral:rRNA from 1 species
GACGAACGCUGGCGGCGUGCUUAACACAUGCAAGUCGAACGGAAAGGCCCUGCUUUUGUGGGGUGCUCGAGUGGCGAACGGGUGAGUAACACGUGAGUAACCUGCCCUUGACUUUGGGAUAACUUCAGGAAACUGGGGCUAAUACCGGAUAGGAGCUCCUGCUGCAUGGUGGGGGUUGGAAAGUUUCGGCGGUUGGGGAUGGACUCGCGGCUUAUCAGCUUGUUGGUGGGGUAGUGGCUUACCAAGGCUUUGACGGGUAGCCGGCCUGAGAGGGUGACCGGCCACAUUGGGACUGAGAUACGGCCCAGACUCCUACGGGAGGCAGCAGUGGGGAAUAUUGCACAAUGGGCGGAAGCCUGAUGCAGCAACGCCGCGUGCGUGAUGACGGCCUUCGGGUUGUAAACCGCUUUCGCCUGUGACGAAGCGUGAGUGACGGUAAUGGGUAAAGAAGCACCGGCUAACUCCGUG